UACCAGCACCCCGAGUGGUCGGGACGAUUAUUGGGUCUAAAGCAUCCGUAGCCGGUUUUACAAGUCCUCCGUUAAAUCCAGCUGCUUAACAGAUGGGCUGCGGAGGAUACUAUAAGACUAGGAGGCAGGAGAGGCAAGCGGUACUCAGUGGGUAGGGGUAAAAUCCGUUGAUCCAUUGAAGACCACCAGUGGCGAAGGCGGCUUGCCAGAAUGCGCUCGACGGUGAGGGAUGAAAGCUGGGGGAGCAAACCGG
rnacentral:rRNA from 1 species